UUUUGUGUCUGUAAAUCUCUCUUUUUAUUUUUGCAGCAAGCAGCAGAAAUCAAGGAUGAAGCUGUUGAAAAGGAUGAUGUUCAAGAUGUUGAUACUGAUGCCACCACAGAGACUAAUACAGUUGUCAAGUCUACUCGGCCCCAAGGAAGGUCAUGGAUUUCACAGAUCAUGUUUGGACAGAGUGCAUGUCACCUGUUCUAGGAAGAUGGAUGCAUCUUGAUCCCUGUGAAGGAAUAUACGACAAUCCUUUGCUAUAUGAGAAAGGGUGGAAAAAGAAUUUGAAUUAUGUAAUUGCUUUU